rnacentral:rRNA from 1 species
UGCCAGCCGCCGCGGUAAUACGGAUGGUGCGAGCGUUAAUCGGAAUUACUGGGCGUAAAACGCGCGUAGGCGGUUUUGUAAGUCAGAUGUGAAAGCCCAGGGCUCAACCUUGGAACUGCAUUUGAUACUGCAUGACUAGAGUGCGAUAGAGGGGGGUAGAAUUUCAGGUGUAGCGGUGAAAUGCGUAGAGAUCUGAAGGAAUACCAGUGGCGAAGGCGGCUUUCUGGACCGAUACUGACGCUGAGACGCGAAAGCGUGGGGAGCAAACAGGAUUAGAUA